rnacentral:rRNA from 1 species
GAUGAACGCUAGCGGCAGGCUUAAUACAUGCAAGUCGAACGGUAAGUUUGGUAGCAAUAUCAAACCAAGAGUGACGUACGGGUGCGUAACACGUAUGCAACCUACCUUGUACAGGAGUAUAGCUCGGGGAAACUCGAAUUAACCCUCCAUGAGAUCAUAGAAUGGCAUCAUUUAGUGAUUAAAACUCAGGUGGUACAAGAUGGGCAUGCGUCUGAUUAGAGUUGGCGGGGUAAUGGCCCACCAAGACGAUGAUCAGUAGGGGACCUGAGA